rnacentral:rRNA from 1 species
GAUGAACGCUGGCGGCGUGCUUAACACAUGCAAGUCGAACGGAAAGGCUCCUGCUUGCUGGGGUACUCGAGUGGCGAACGGGUGAGUAACACGUGGGUGAUCUGCCCUGCACUUCGGGAUAAGCCUGGGAAACUGGGUCUAAUACCGGAUAGGACCACAUUUUGGAUGGUGUGGUGGAAAGUUUUUCGGUGUGGGAUGAGCUCGCGGCCUAUCAGCUUGUUGGUGGGGUAAUGGCCUACCAAGGCGUCGACGGGUAGCCGGCCUGAGAGGAGGUACGGCCACAUUGGGACUGAGAUACGGCCCAGACUCCUACGGGAGGCAGCAGUGGGGAAUAUUGCACAAUGAGCGCAAACCUGAUGCAGCGACGCCGCGUGGGGGAUGACGGCCUUCGGGUUGUAAUCUCCUUUCGCUAGGGACGAAGCGCAAGUGACGGUACCUGGAGAAGAAGCACCGGCUAACUACGUG